GCGGCGUCGCGGAGCUCGGGCCGGUGGAAGGUUUACCUGCUAGGCUCGUCCCACCUGUGUGGAGCUCCCAUCGCCCUCCAGCGUUGCGCAGCCUGAAGGGACAGGACGGACAAGCGGGUGCCUCCUUCUAAUUCAUCUUCACCAUUGUGGUUGUCAAUAUGGCAUGCAGAAUUAUCCCUCUUUCCAGGUUUUCCCCAAGGACCCUGGACAAUGCUGGUUUUUCCUAUGUGCACCACCAAAGGGCCUAUCCAGCUUCUGGAGUCUACCUGGAUUCCUGGGCUCAUGGCCCCUUCCUCCAUCUUCAAACCAGCAAUGAUUGGAACGACCUGGAGCAGCCAGCAGAGUGACAAAUGAGGAAGAGGACAGAAUCUAGCUGAAGAAGCUCUGGAAGAUACCAUUUGAAGUCUUGAGUGCUUGAACUCACAAAGAAAGCACAUGAGUACACACUAGCACUUGAGCUCUUCAUUUUAAACAGAAUAAAGAAUGUACUGCUAUUAUUGUCAUUUUACAGAUAGGGAAAUUCAGACUCACCAGGGCUACUCAGAUACAAAGAAAAUGAGCCAGAAUUUCAAGCAAGCCUGAGCUUAGAAUCUACACUAUUUUUUUUUUUUUUUUUGAGACAUGGUCUUACUUUGUCACCCAGGCUGGAGUUCAGUGGUAUUAGGUUGGCACAAAAGUAAUUGUGGUCUCUGCCACUUAAAACUAGAGCCCGAAACUGCAAUUACUUUUGCACCAACCUAAUGCACUUACCAGAGCUCACUUACGCCUUGACCUCCUGGGCUCAAGUGAUUCUCCCACCUCAGCCUCCCAAGUGGCUGGGAAUGUGGGCAUGCACCACCCUGCCCGGCUAGCUUUUCUUUCUUUUUUUUUUGUGGAGACAGGAUUUUGCCAUGUUGUCCCGGCUGGUCUUUAACUCCUGAGCUCAAACUAUCCUUCUGCCCUGGCCUCCCAAAGUUCUGGGAUUACAGGCAUGAGCCACUGUGCCCGGCCCAGAACCUAUGCUCCUAACUGCCACACCAAUUGACCUCUAUUCAGCCAUUUUUAUUUCUAUAGCACUUGGUAUAAUUUCACUUUGCACACAGUAUCUAUAGAUAAUCAUUCCAGGGCAUGUAAUCGUCAUAAGAUUAUUUAUGUUAUUGCAUGUGUAUUACUGCAUGUAAUCUUCAUGUGUUAUUGCCUCUAACAAGUUAUGUAUUUCCAUGUAGUCUUCAUAACUGUGUAUAGAAGACCAUUUUAGAGAUGGAAAACUGAGACUCAGAAGUGGUAAUUGUCCUACUGGUCAGAGAUUUAGCCAGGGUUUGGAUUGUGGAAUGCAGAGGACCACUUACUUUUCACUAGACCAUAAAUGCUCCUCACCACUGAGGCAUGUCAAAUGCCAGAUAUCUCCAGGAACCUUAGGCUACGUCUCCAUUGUUUUUGCUUUUUCCCCCCUUAGACACAGCUUGGCAAAGAACAAAUGAUCCCAAACACCAAACAGCACACUUGGAAACAUUUAACCCGCAUACUUUCAGACUUUCUGGCAUGGACCAACCUCUUGUCUUACCUUUGUUCCUGGCCAGAAAGAAAUGGCAUGAAAAGAUGGACAGUUUUUAUAACCUCUUUGAGCUCUAAACCAUGUUUCCUGUGCACUUAGGAGAUCUUAAUAGAAACCAAGUACUUCUUUUAGGCAUCUAUACUCUUAAUGCCGUAAGUCAAGUCAAGUACCCAGGUGGUUAAGAUAACUGUACCAACAGAAACAUUUUUAAAAAAUAUCCUAACACAACAUGAAGUGACCAUCGCGAAUUCAAAGAAGCAGGCAUAUUUCUUAAAGGUUGAAAAGAGGUGAGUCUUUCACAAGAUUCUAGCUCAAGGCCAUAUUUGCACAAGUAUAGUCAUUCCUCUAGCAAGGUUUUGUUUAUCUGGCCAUUAAAAA
rnacentral:lncRNA from 1 species